rnacentral:rRNA from 1 species
CUACGAAGGGGGCUAGCGUUGCUCGGAAUUACUGGGCGUAAAGGGAGCGUAGGCGGACUGUUUAGUCAGAGGUGAAAGCCCAGGGCUCAACCUUGGAAUUGCCUUUGAUACUGGCAGUCUUGAGUACGGAAGAGGUAUGUGGAACUCCGAGUGUAGAGGUGAAAUUCGUAGAUAUUCGGAAGAACACCAGUGGCGAAGGCGACAUACUGGUCCGUUACUGACGCUGAGGCUCGAAAGCGUGGGGAGCAAACAGGAUUAGAAACCCUAGUAGUCC